rnacentral:rRNA from 1 species
UACGGAAGGUGCAAGCAUUAAUCGGAUUUAUUGGGCGUAAAGGGCGCGUAGGCGGAAAGAAAAGUCAGAUGUGAAAUUUCAAGGCUCAACCUUGAAGCUGCAUUUGAAACUCUCUUUCUAGAGGAUAGGCGGAGAAAAUGGAAUUCCACAAGUAGCGGUGAAAUGCGUAGAUAUGUGGAAGAACACCUGUGGCGAAAGCGAUUUUCUAGCUUAUAACUGACGCUGAUGCGCGAAAGCAAGGGGAGCAAACAGG